ACAUGGGAAAUAUGAUUUUCAAAAGACAAGUUAUCAUGCGUUGGUGUGGACACUAAUAUGAUUAUCGUUAGAGUUAUCUUUAUAGUACUCAUUCUUGGUGACAACAGGCGUUUAGUGGACCUUAUGUCAAAAGUUGUAACUUACACUCAGCUGGUACAACUAGCUCUAGCCUCCUCCAACUGCUGUUUUCAUUGACAUUGUUGUUCUCUUCCUGACAAGUAUUAAAAUGGGAAAACUUGUUAAAUGUAAUGUUUACUUUUUAAUCCAUCUUUCUCCUUAGGCAUCGCAACUGAAAGAUCAAGGUAACAAGGUGUUGAGCGCAGGAAAUGUUGACGAGGCGGUUAGGUGCUACACUGUGGCCCUGACAUUAGACCCUUCCAAUCACGUCCUCUUCAGCAACCGGUCUGCCGCCUAUGCCAAGAAGGGCGAUUAUGACAAUGCCCUGAAAGAUGCCUGCCAAACCAUAAAGAUUAAGCCGGACUGGGGCAAGGGCUACUCAAGAAAAGCAGCUGCUUUGGAAUUUCUUGGGCGACUAGAGGAUGCCAAAGCGACCUAUCAGGAGGGGAUACGCCAAGAGCCGUCCAAUCAGCAACUCAAGGAGGGACUUCAGAAAAUUGAAGCACGCUUGGCAGAGCGAAAGAUGAUGAACCCAUUUUCCAUUCCCAACUUGUAUGAAAAGCUGGAGGGUGACCAUCGAACCAGAGCACUCCUGUCUGACCCCAGCUACAGGGAGCUGCUGGAGCAGCUCAGGAACAAGCCCUCAGAGCUUGGCACGUAAGUGUUCUGUAUGCCUUCUGCCUUUCGGUUUCUAUUUGUGUAUUUCUUUGCAUAAUGUACAGUCGGCUUGUCAUUAUCACAUAAUAAUCCGCGACACUACGCAAUGGUCUCUUGUAUAGUGGUUUGCUGAUAUUUGGCAUUUCUUAGUGGUGUCAACCAAUAACUAUCUGACUUUUUUGACAGCGCUGAGAAUGCAGUGCCUGAGCACAGAUGCACAGAAGCUUCUAUUUUCUUCAGAAGUUUACAGUCUUUGUUAAAUCCCUCUUAAAAAAAAAAAA